GGGAUUGUGGCUCAGCGGUAGAGCACUUGCCUAGUAUGUGUGGAGCCCUGGGUUCAAUCCUCAGCACCA
rnacentral:tRNA from 1 species